AAUGCAAACCUAAAUUCUAAAAUGUCUCUUGCAAGGUUUUUGGUCCCAACCACAUGAAUUGUGGCGGCCAAUAAAGGACAACCUUAUAGAGGUCGAUUAAUGCAAAUGAUGGCUAAAGUGCAAGUGUGCAAGUGUAUAAAAAGGUGAACGUGUGAAAUUGUAUGAAAAAUCCAAGUGUUUGUGUGCAAGCGUAUGAAAAGGUGCAUGUGUGAAAUUGUAUGAAAAAUCCAAGUGUUUGCGUGAAAAUAGAAUAAUAGAUAUAUAAGGUAAAGUGGAAUUCCAUUUGUGAGGUGAAAAUGAGCGCGUGAUAGGGAAAAUGUAGUGAGAAAGUAUGGUUUGAGAAAUGUGAAAAAAUGUGGUUAAAAGAGUAUGUGGGUGAUAAAAAUGAAAGUAUGACCCU
rnacentral:lncRNA from 1 species